CUCAGCAGUAAAAAUGCAGUGAAGUUAAAAUUGCUGCUCCGAUAAAUGUCCUCCAAAAAUAAGAACCAAGGCCCAGGGCCAAUAAAUCAAACAAGCUCCCCUCUCAAAUGAGUGCCCCCCCCAUCCGCCUGGAGGAUAGUAUGUGAUAGAUGGGUGCUCACAGGACAGCCACAACAAAAUUCUUUAAUAAUAUUUUGCUUUUUGCUUUUUCAAGUCAGAAUCAUGAAAACACACAAUUAAAAGAAAUUGCGACUCUUUUCCUUUUUUUUUCCCUCAAGUUUUUGCUGCAAAGCCAUGUGAGAGUAGGACUCGAUGGCUUUUUUCCAGACUGGCCCAACAUGUGUCUGAGCUUUCACUAUGGUUUUCUAUGGGCUUACAUGCACAGAGCCAUACAGGUCAUAUGACAAUAAGACUUAUCAGUGCAUAACAAAUUAAUAGAUGAAGUAAAACCCUGAUCAAAAGAAGCUACAGAUUGACCAAGAUGAAAUGUUUACUGCUUACCAACUGAACACAAGAGCCCUACUGGGGAAUAUUGUCCCAAAGCCAUGGCAGUGCCAACCAACUGCAGUAAGGUUCAUACAAAAACAAUGGAGGGCCAACAUUCAACAGUGAAGUUCGAGCAAGCAAGGUCAAAUUACUGAGCUGUUUCAGCUACAUGCAACAGUACUGGAAAACACCUACCCAUGUUAGAAACUUUUGUGGGAUCACCCUUAAUACCAAAACAACAGUACACUAAUAUGGCAGAAUUUUUGAAAAAUUGAAAUGCAACAGGUUAACCCCAGGAUUGUAGCUAAGAAAUUACACUGCCAGCUAAAAAUUUCAAGUAAUGUGGCUUAAAAAUGGUGAACAACUGGAAGUGUGUAACCUCAGAAGUGCCCGCUGUGCCUUACCAAGUGA